AUAUUGGGCAAUGGGCGCAAGCCUGACCCAGCCAUGCCGCGUGCAGGAUGACAGCCCUACGGGUUGUAAACUGCUUUUAUACGGGAAAAAACCCUCUGACGUGUCAGAGGCUGAUGGUACCGUAAGAAUAAGCAUCGGCUAACUCCGUGCCAGCAGCCGCGGUAAUACGGAGGAUGCAAGCGUUAUCCGGAUUUACUGGGUUUAAAGGGUGCGCAGGCGGAACGACAAGUCAGUGGUGAAAUCUCCUGGCUCAACCAGGAAACUGCCAUUGAUACUAUCGUUCUUGAGUCCAGUUGAAGUAGGCGGAAUGUAGCAUGUAGCGGUGAAAUGCUUAGAUAUGCUACAGAACACCGAUAGCGAAGGCAGCUUACUAAACUGAAACUGACGCUCAUGCACGAAAGCGUGGGGAUCAAACAGGAUUAGAUACCCUGGUAGUCCACGCCCUAAACGAAGAUCAACUCGUUGUUGGCAACUAUAUCGUCAGCGACUAAGCGAAAGCAUUAAGUGAUCCACCUGGGGAGUACGAUCGCAAGGUUGAAACUCAAAGGAAUUGACGGGGGCCCGCACAAGCGGAGGAGCAUGUGGUUUAAUUCGAUGAUACGCGAGGAACCUUACCUGGGCUAGAACGCAGAACGACGUUUCGGGAAACCGGAAUUCUCUUCGGAGCGAUCUGCGAGGUGCUGCAUGGUUGUCGUCAGCUCGUGCCGUGAGGUGUCGGGUUAAGUCCCAUAACGAGCGCAACCCUUGUGAUAUGUUACCAGUAUCAAGUUAGGGACUCAUAUCAGACUGCCGGUGACAAACCGGAGGAAGGUGGGGAUGACGUCAAAUCAUCAUGCCCCUUAUGGCCUGGGCCACACACGUACUACAAUGGCGGAUACAGAGGGAAGCGCGCCCGCGAGGGCAAGCCAAUCCCCAAAACCGGCCCCAGUUCGGAUCGCAGUCUGCAACUCGACUGCGUGAAGCCGGAAUCGCUAGUAAAGGGGCAUCAGCAACGGCCCCUUGAAUACGUUCCCGGGCCUUGCACACACCGCCCGUCAAG
rnacentral:rRNA from 1 species